UAAUGGCUCGAAUCCUAGAGAUGUUUGUCGAAAAUCGAUAUUAUCGAAUAUUCGAUAUUUUUUUCACUUCGAUAUAAAAAUAUCGAAUAAAAAAAAUAUGAAUAAAAUAUCGAAUAAAUACUUUUAACCUAUUUCAACAACAUUAAAAACGAAUAUUUUUUUAAAGAGAUCAUUUUAGAAUACAAGUCCUUAGGGCCAUCACACACGAAAUAACAUAAGCUGCAUAUGCAUAGCAUAAGACCGUUGAACCAAUGAGCUCCUAACAUAAAGUCGCUAUAUUGAUAUACAUAAGAUGCUUAUUGACCUAGCGUUCUUAAGGGCCAUCUAUAAUGGAGUGUUUUAGCCGUAACAGCACUAAAACUACAGCAAUGCUGUCAAUAAUAUAAACGACGUAGCAAUAAUAUACAAGCCGGCUAUCAUAGAGAGGUGACUAAAAACUAACCCCGAACACCUGAACGCUCAUCGUAAGCACCCACUUGCGUUUAUUUUAAUUUUCACUUUUGGUCAAUCAUUUUCUUGUAAUGUUAAACGUGAGUAAACAGUGAUACUUAAUGUAUCUAACUGCACAGUUAUUAUAAAAAUGUUAAUUAAAUUUGUGUGAACUUGCAUGCAGUUGCUAGGAUAUAACAUCCAGUCGAACAUCGAUUUAUUAGGCAAUGUGACAAAAUCGUAUCUUUUCGCCACCUUCUAUUGUGCCAUGAAUUGUCUAAUUUUAAAUAAAACAUUGCAGGUACUAAUUAGAAACUCUUAUUCGUAUGUGCGUUUUGUCGGCAUGUUAGUAUUAUGUAUUUUUUUUUCUCCAAUUGCGCAUUCGUUAUAUUGCUGCGUUAGUUCAUUUCUCCAAUGAAAUUAAUUAUUAAAUCUAUGAAAUUAAAUCAAAGUUCUAUCAAAGCGUACAAAUAUUUAUAUUUAUAAAAAAAUUAUAUGUAAAUCAUUCGUGACUUGAUGAAAAUAAAAUAAAUUUAUAUAUUUCUUUACGUAGGAUUGCACACAUGAUAUUAUUUCGCUCAUACACAUUGCACACAUGACACUAUUGCACAUAAGCUAAAGAAACAAUAUUAACACAUUGCACACAUGAUAUUAAAACAUUCAUACACGUACAUUGCACACAUGAUAUUAUUACGCUUAGCAGCGCGAGAACUUUAUUAGGAUCUCGUCAAAGCUAUCUCGAUAACGUUGCUGAAACUGAAGCGAAAUCUGAUGUUUCAUCUCUAAAAAUACGUUUAAUACGUAUUUCUUAUAUAUAUAAUUUAGUAAUACUUUAAAACUGAAAGUUCUUACGUGUGCCUGCUUUUUAUAAUUCUUUUUCGUUUAACGAGCUAGCGACCAUCAAUUAUAAUAUAGAAAUUGAAUCGGUGUCAAGCGUAUAAUGUACAUUUAAAAUUAUUUCAAUAAAUAAAUCGUUUGUAUUACGUA